AUUGAACGCUGGCGGCAGGCUUAACACAUGCAAGUCGAACGAUGAUUAUCUAGCUUGCUAGAUAUGAUUAGUGGCGGACGGGUGAGUAACAUUUAGGAAUCUGCCUAGUAGUGGGGGAUAGCUCGGGGAAACUCGAAUUAAUACCGCAUACGACCUACGGGUGAAAGGGGGCGCAAGCUCUUGCUAUUAGAUGAGCCUAAAUCAGAUUAGCUAGUUGGUGGGGUAAAGGCCCACCAAGGCGACGAUCUGUAACUGGUCUGAGAGGAUGAUCAGUCACACCGGAACUGAGACACGGUCCGGACCCCUACGGGAGGCAGCAGUGGGGAAUAUUGGACAAUGGGGGCAACCCUGAUCCAGCCAUGCCGCGUGUGUGAAGAAGGCCUUUUGGUUGUAAAGCACUUUAAGCAGGGAGGAGAGGCUAAUGGUUAAUACCCAUUAGAUUAGACGUUACCUGCAGAAUAAGCACCGGCUAACUCUGUGCCAGCAGCCGCGGUAAUACAGAGGGUGCGAGCGUCAAUCGGAAUUACUGGGCGUAAAGCGAGUGUAGGUGGCUCAUUAAGUCACAUGUGAAAUCCCCGGGCUCAACCUGGGAACUGCAUGUGAUACUGGUGGUGCUAGAAUAUGUGAGAGGGAAGUAGAAUUCCAGGUGUAGCGGUGAAAUGCGUAGAGAUCUGGAGGAAUACCGAUGGCGAAGGCAGCUUCCUGGCAUAAUAUUGACACUGAGAUUCGAAAGCGUGGGUAGCAAACAGGAUUAGAUACCCUGGUAGUCCACGCCGUAAACGAUGUCUACUAGCCGUUGGGGUCCUUGAGACUUUAGUGGCGCAGUUAACGCGAUAAGUAGACCGCCUGGGGAGUACGGCCGCAAGGUUAAAACUCAAAUGAAUUGACGGGGGCCCGCACAAGCGGUGGAGCAUGUGGUUUAAUUCGAUGCAACGCGAAGAACCUUACCUGGUCUUGACAUAGUGAGAAUCCUGCAGAGAUGCGGGAGUGCCUUCGGGAAUUCACAUACAGGUGCUGCAUGGCUGUCGUCAGCUCGUGUCGUGAGAUGUUGGGUUAAGUCCCGCAACGAGCGCAACCCUUUUCCUUAUUUGCCAGCGGGUUAAGCCGGGAACUUUAAGGAUACUGCCAGUGACAAACUGGAGGAAGGCGGGGACGACGUCAAGUCAUCAUGGCCCUUACGACCAGGGCUACACACGUGCUACAAUGGUAGGUACAGAGGGUUGCUACACAGCGAUGUGAUGCUAAUCUCAAAAAGCCUAUCGUAGUCCGGAUUGGAGUCUGCAACUCGACUCCAUGAAGUCGGAAUCGCUAGUAAUCGCAGAUCAGAAUGCUGCGGUGAAUACGUUCCCGGGCCU
rnacentral:rRNA from 1 species